GUAUCGUUGAUAACAGCAAUCACUACAUCAUAAAGCUGACAGAGCGGACUGUGAAACCAAUUCAUCGUGUGGCCUGUCCAAUGAAUUACAUUUACUCCCAAUUCUAAAAGGUGCUUUAAAACAAACACAAGAGGAGCCAGCAUUUCUCUCAUUAGAUUACCAGUAGGCAGAAACCUUGGGCUUUACGUGAAAAAGGCCCACUUUACCAACCUGAAGAGCAUCUUACCUCGAAAGCAUUAAUCAAGGCAGUUGCUCCCAAUUGUGAGUUAUUAUUAUUUUC
rnacentral:lncRNA from 1 species